rnacentral:lncRNA from 1 species
GAUGAGCAUCAGGGCCAUCUGAAGACCAGGUGUUUCCCAUAUUGAAGUAGAGUCAGGCUUUUUAUAGCAGAGAGGAAAGUUGCCUACGAGUGAUUUUGUCUUGACAGAAAUUUUCAGCUUCGAAACUUGAGAUUAGCCCUGAGCCAACAUCAGCUGCCAAUCCUCCUCUUUUUGCUGAGGAAGACUGGCCCUGAGCUAACAUCUGUGCCCAUCUUCCUCUACUUUAUAUGAGGGGUCCCUGCCACAACAUGGUUUGACAAGUAGUGCAUAGGUCUGAACCCAGGAUCUGAACCAGUGAAGGCUGGGCUGCCAAAGAAGAAUGUGCAAACUUAACUGCUUUGCCACCACACCUGACUCUCCUUGUUGACUUUCUAUCUGGAUGAUCUAUCCAUUGAUGGUGAAGGAGCAAAGUUCUGUGUUACCGGGUGUCCUUUCCAGGAAACAUCAAGAUAUUUUAUGCAUAGAAGACGUUAACAGUUUAUCUUCUGAAUUUGAAGCCUAAUUUUAUGAAAAGCAAUAUCAAGAAUGUUCAAGGAGACAAGACAGGAGCAUAAGUCAUUAUUUUUCACAGUCAAAAAUAUUUAUUACAGGGGGCUGGCCCAUUCUUGGAUUGUCGCAAUAGCCUCCUACUCAUUCUUUGACACAACUGAGUCACUAUGGGAUGAUGACAUUUGCAUAUACUUUUAAGGAAAAAAUAAAGUUAUUAGUUUAUGUGCACUAUAUAUCCUUCAUCAAACGAAAUUUAAUAUAUACUCAUGCAUAGAAUCAAUAGAGUAAGCACAUACAUAUAAUAUUAAUAAUUGUGAUUAGUGUAAGAUCCUUAAUUGUGUAUAUUUUUAUUUAUUUCUUCAUUUUCUUCAACGAAUAUGUAUGCUUUGGUCAUAGAUUAAAUUUAUUUUCAAAGAAACUCUUACU